GUAACCCUUCACUCAGCCUCUCUGAUCACCAAUAACCCUUCACUCAGCCUCUCUGAUCACCAGUAACCCUUCACUCAGCCUCUCUGAUCACCAAUAACCCUUCACUCAGCCUCUCUGAUCACCAGUAACCCUUCACUCAGCCUCUCUGAUCACCAGUAACCCUUCACUCAGCCUCUCUGAUCACCAAUAACCCUUCACUCAGCCUCUCUGAUCACCAAUAACCCUUCACUCAGCCUCUCUGAUCACCAAUAACCCUUCACUCAGCCUCUCUGAUCACCAAUAACCCUUCACUCAGCCUCUCUGAUCACCAAUAACCCUUCACUCAGCCUCUCUGAUCACCAGUAACCCUUCACUCAGCCUCUCUGAUCACCAGUAACCCUUCACUCAGCCUCUCUGAUCACCAAUAACCCUUCACUCAGCCUCUCUGAUCACCAGUAACCCUUCACUCAGCCUCUCUGAUCACCAAUAACCCUUCACUCAGCCUCUCUGAUCACCAAUAACCCUUCACUCAGCCUCUCUGAUCACCAGUAACCCUUCACUCAGCCUCUCUGAUCACCAGUAACCCUUCACUCAGCCUCUCUGAUCACCAAUAACCCUUCACUCAGCCUCUCUGAUCACCAAUAACCCUUCACUCAGCCUCUCUGAUCACCAUUAACCCUUCACUCAGCCUCUCUGAUCACCAAUAACCCUUCACUCAGCCUCUCUGAUCACCAAUAACCCUUCACUCAGCCUCUCUGUCCAGUGAAACAAACAUGUCAGAGGAGGGUUGUUAUAGUGAACUACUGUUCUCCACCAGAUCGACUGGACUGGUGGAGCAGAAUGUAGGCAGGAAAGGUUCAGACCAAUGAACAGUCUUACUCUGGAGCCUCCACUUCCUCUCUCGACCUGUUACAUAUCAGCUGAAAUACUGCAAUAUGACAAGACCAUAUCUAUAGGUGUUACUGAAAACGACUACUAUAAUAAUUCAGAUAUUUAGGUCUGGUAGCAAAUGGGAGUGUUGUAUAUUUUUGUCACAGGUCUGGUUGCCGAUUAGCUCUGGUCUAGGACGAUAGUGCGGCUUGCUAACGCUGAGCAUUGACUAGUUGGUUGCUUUUCCAGCUCUAGUUUAACUAAUUAUAGAAUGGUUCCCAAAGAAAAUCGUUUCAACUUUAUUUAUUAAUCUCGAAGCAAUAUUCGGGUAUGUUGGAUUUACUAGCCGUGAGAGAGAGUUCAGUUUUGAUGUUAUUUUCAAUACACUUGAGGUGUUGUCGUUUCAUCCAAACGUUUUGACAGUUGGUCAAACUGCCUUGCAUCGUUGAUUUAAAAAAAAAAAAAAAAUUGUUUUAUUUACUUCAUAGACAUCUGAUGUCAUCUUUGUCCCAAAUAGAACACUUCCCUGGGUCUCUGGUCAAAUCCUAUCUGUGGUUAGGAGGUCAUCACAACUAAUGUCUUGGUUACAGUCAAGGGAUUCAAUGUCGUGGAUGGCUACGGUUUCAUCACCCAGGAAACCCACCAGGUUAUAAAGGAAAUUUAACCCAAGGAUGACUGCCAGAUUUAAAGGUUUAUAAAGUGGUUUUACAUGGCAUGAUGUCACUGUCAGACUGAUGUUAAUAGCAGACACAUUAUAAAAACCUUUUAGGAUGAAACGAGAUAAAGGUUGACGUUAAAGUUGAAAAUAAGAGAACUUUGAAAGUGUGAACUGUCCCCUUUAAGCAGAGAGAGAGAGGGGGUGAACUGUCUCCUUUAAGCAGAGAGAGAGAGAGGGUGAACUGUCCCCUUUAAGCAGAGAGAGAGAGGGUGAACUGUCCCCUUUAAGCAGAGAGAGAGAGAGGGUGAACUGUCCCCUUUAAGCAGAGAGAGAGAGGGUGAACUGUCUCCUUUAAGCAGAGAGAGAGAGGGUGAACUGUCCCCUUUAAGCAGAGAGAGAGAGAGGGUGAACUGUCCCCUUUAAGCAGAGAGAGAGGGGGUGAACUGUCCCCUUUAAGCAGAGAGAGAGAGGGGGUGAACUGUCUCCUUUAAGCAGAGAGAGAGAGAGGGUGAACUGUCUCCUUUAAGCAGAGAGAGAGAGAGAGGGUGAACUGUCCCCUUUAAGCAGAGAGAGAGAGAGGGUGAACUGUCUCCUUUAAGCAGAGAGAGAGAGGGGGUGAACUGUCCCCUUUAAGCAGAGAGAGAGAGAGGGUGAACUGUCCCCUUUAAGCAGAGAGAGAGAGAGAGAGGGUGAACUGUCCCCUUUAAGCAGAGAGAGAGAGAGGGUGAACUGUCCCCUUUAAGCAGAGAGAGAGAGAGGGUGAACUGUCCCCUUUAAGCAGAGAGAGAGAGAGGGUGAACUGUCUCCUUUAAGCAGAGAGAGAGAGGGGGUGAACUGUCCCCUUUAAGCAGAGAGAGAGGGGGUGAACUGUCUCCUUUAAGCAGAGAGAGAGAGGGGGUGAACUGUCCCCUUUAAGCAGAGAGAGAGAGGGGGUGAACUGUCUCCUUUAAGCAGAGAGAGAGAGGGGGUGAACUGUCCCCUUUAAGCAGAGAGAGAGAGGGGGUGAACUGUCCCCUUUAAGCAGAGAGAGAGAGAGGGGGUGAACUGUCCCCUUUAAGCAGAGAGAGAGAGAGGGUGAACUGUCCCCUUUAAGCAGAGAGAGAGAGGGGGUGAACUGUCUCCUUUAAGCAGAGAGAGAGAGAGGGUGAACUGUCCCCUUUAAGCAGAGAGAGAGAGAUGGUGAACUGUCUCCUUUAAGCAGAGAGAGAGGGGUGAACUGUCCCCUUUAAGCAGAGAGAGAGAGAGGGUGAACUGUCUCCUUUAAGCAGAGAGAGAGAGGGGGUGAACUGUCCCCUUUAAGCAGAGAGAGAGAGGGUGAACUGUCCCCUUUAAGCAGAGAGAGAGAGAGGGUGAACUGUCCCCUUUAAGCAGAGAGAGAGAGAUGGUGAACUGUCCCCUUUAAGCAGAGAGAGAGGGGGUGAACUGUCCCCUUUAAGCAGAGAGAGAGAGGGGGUGAACUGUCCCCUUUAAGCAGAGAGAGAGAGAGGGUGAACUGUCCCCUUUAAGCAGAGAGAGAGAGAGGGUGAACUGUCCCCUUUAAGCAGAGAGAGAGAGAGGGUGAACUGUCCCCUUUAAGCAGAGAGAGAGAGGGUGAACUGUCUCCUUUAAGCAGAGAGAGAGAGAGGGUGAACUGUCCCCUUUAAGCAGAGAGAGAGAGAGGGUGAACUGUCUCCUUUAAGCAGAGAGAGAGAGGGGGUGAACUGUCUUCUUUAAGCAGAGAGAGAGAGAGAGGGUGAACUGUCCCCUUUAAGCAGAGAGAGAGAGAGAGGGUGAACUGUCCCCUUUAAGCAGAGAGAGAGAGGGGGUGAACUGUCUUCUUUAAGCAGAGAGAGAGAGGGGGUGAACUGUCUUCUUUAAGCAGAGAGAGAGAGAGGGUGAACUGUCCCCUUUAAGCAGAGAGAGAGAGAGGGUGAACUGUCCCCUUUAAGCAGAGAGAGAGAGGGUGAACUGUCCCCUUUAAGCAGAGAGAGAGAGAGAGGGUGAACUGUCUCCUUUAAGCAGAGAGAGAGAGAGAGGGUGAACUGUCCCCUUUAAGCAGAGAGAGAGAGAGGGUGAACUGUCCCCUUUAAGCAGAGAGAGAGAGAGGGUGAACUGUCCCCUUUAAGCAGAGAGAGAGAGAGGGGGUGAACUGUCCCCUUUAAGCAGAGAGAGACACUGUUGCUGUAGUCAUGCUGACAGUGGGAUCCAGCUCAGCUAGGCCAGGGAUGACCUCAGCCUGGGUGCCGGUCGUUUUUUGCUCUCUUGCCAACUCUUUGAGAUUGUCAUGCAUGGAGUUGGCAAGAGAGCAGAAACAGACUGGCAUCCAGGCUAGGCUGAACUACCUUCCUAUCCAGAGGUUGCUAUGCAGCUUUGGGUUACUGAAAUGCAAUUGAGUUUGUCUGAAAUGGUACCCUAUUCACUAUAUAGUGCACGGUCCCUGGUCAAAAAGUAGUGCACUAAAUAGGGAAUAGGGUGCCAUUUGGUCACACUCAUAUUCCUCUCUCUCCCGCUUGGUUGCAUUUUAGAAAGUAGACUAUAGUGUAAAAUGUAGUUUUUUUUUUUCCUUCAUUUUUUUUGUUGUGUUCAAUAUUUGCACCAUGUUAGCACUUUUGUACAUUUUCUGUUUUUUAUUUAAAUGACAGAAAAGGGAAAUGCUUUAGUUUGUGACAUUAUUGCCAUUCCCUUUGCAAAACUUUUAAUGUAUGCAGUUUUUGUAAUAAACAAAGCUAUUGUUAACAAUA